ACUUUUUUAUUAUAGAUAUUAUGUUUGAUUUCCAAUCAAAAGACCUUGAUAUAAAUUCAAGAAAAAGUA
rnacentral:tRNA from 1 species